AUUGAACGCUGGCGGCAGGCCUAACACAUGCAAGUCGACCGAGUGGCGGGCGGGUGAGUAAUGUCUGGGAAACUGCCUGAUGGAGGGGGAUAACUAAUGGAAACGAUUGCUAAUACCGUAUACCACAGGAUAUGCCUAGUUGGGAUUAGCUAGUAGGUGGGGUAAAGGCUCACCUAGGUGACGAUCCCUUGCUGGUCUGAGAGGAUGACCAGCCACACUGGAACUGAGACACGGUCCAGACUCCUACGGGAGGCAGUAUGGGGGAAUAUUGCACAAUGGGCGAAAGCCUGAUGCAGCCAUGCCGCGUGUAUGAAGAAGGCCUUCGGGUUGUAAAGCACUUUCAGCUGGGAGGCGUUACCCGCAGAAGAAGCACCGGCUAACUCCGUGCCAGCAGCCGCGGUAAUAC
rnacentral:rRNA from 1 species